GCCUCUGCUCCGCCUUUCCUUGGUGAAUGUUUCCCUGCAGUCGAGUUGCUCCGUUUUUGGAUGUGGACAAGCAAAGGGUUGUUACAGUGCAGGGAUGAAUGAUACGUUUCUAAGUGACAUCACAAGUGGCAUGAACAUAUCACCCAAGUUCACCAGCAUUUUACAGACAUAUUACAUCACAAGACUAUCACUGAGGAACAUAAAGUCAAUCAGCAAAGAGCUUUUUAAAGAUGUCUGCUGAAAGAACAAUCUUGAAAAGGAGACAGAGUCAGUGAGGUAUAUGGAGAGAAUUGCAGACCAUACAGCCUAAGGUUUUGAUCAGUAAUAUAUUAAAAGAACAAUUCAGCUGCUGCUUAACCUGCUGAAUAUUUCAACAUUUUCUAUCUUCAGAUUCCCAGUAUUUUGCUUCUGCACUUGUUCUUAGGGAUCAAAACAUCUGGGGAGAG